AGAGCGAACGCUGGCGGCAGGCCUAAUACAUGCAAGUCGAACGGAUCCUUCGGGAUUAGUGGCGGACGGGUGAGUAACACGUGGGAACGUGCCCUUUGGUUCGGAACAACUCAGGGAAACUUGAGCUAAUACCGGAUGUGCCCUUCGGGGGAAAGAUUUAUCGCCAUUGGAGCGGCCCGCGUCUGAUUAGCUAGUUGGUGGGGUAAAGGCUCACCAAGGCUACGAUCAGUAGCUGGUCUGAGAGGAUGAUCAGCCACACUGGGACUGAGACACGGCCCAGACUCCUACGGGAGGCAGCAGUAGGGAAUCUUGCGCAAUGGGCGAAAGCCUGACGCAGCCAUGCCGCGUGAAUGAUGAAGGUCUUAGGAUUGUAAAAUUCUUUCAGCGGGGACGAUAAUGACGGUACCCGCAGAAGAAGCCCGGCUAACUUCGUGCCAGCAGCCGC
rnacentral:rRNA from 1 species